GAGGGAGGAAGAGGGGAGGCUGGGGAGUGCUGUAAUUUAGAUCUUUAGAAAAUCUAACAAUAUAUAAGAAUUUCAUGUCCCAUUGAGAAGAGAAAGUACAGGGGGCAGAGUUUAUCAUAUAUUAGUGGCGGUGAGGUAAUACCUUCUAUCAUCUAGUUGGCGGUGAGGUAAUACCUUCUAUCAUCUAGUUGGCGGUGAGGUAAUACCUUCUAUCAUCUAGUUGGCGGUGAGGUAAUACCUUCUAUCGUCUAGUUGGCGGUGAGGUAAUACCUUCUAUCAUCUAGUUGGCGGUGAGGUAAUACCUUCUAUCAUCUAGUUGGCGGUGAGGUAAUGCCAUCUAUCAUCUAGUUGGCGGUGAGGUAAUACCUUCUAUCAUCUAGUUGGCGGUGAGGUAAUACCUUCUAUCAUCUAGUUGGCGGUGAGGUAAUACCUUCUAUCAUCUAGUUGGCGGUGAGGUAAUACCUUCUAUCAUCUAGUUGGCGGUGAGGUAAUACCUUCUAUCAUCUAGUUGGCGGUGAGGUAAUACCUUCUAUCAUCUAGUUGGCGGUGAGGUAAUACCUUCUAUCAUCUAGUUGGCGGUGAGGUAAUGCCAUCUAUCAUCUAGUUGGCGGUGAGGUAAUACCAUCUAUCAUCUAGUUGGCGGUGAGGUAAUACCAUCUAUCAUCUAGUUGGCGGUGAGGUAAUACCAUCUAUCAUCUAGUUGGCGGUGAGGUAAUACCAUCUAUCAUCUAGUUGGCGGUGAGGUAAUACCAUCUAUCAUCUAGUUGGCGGUGAGGUAAUACCUUCUAUCAUCUAGUUGGCGGUGAGGUAAUACCAUCUAUCAUCUAGUUGGCGGUGAGGUAAUACCAUCUAUUUGAGGUAAGUUACUGCAACUCUGCUGUGUUUGAAAGAAAUGGGAAUGAGAACUUGUAACGUUGCAUGGGUCAUUGUGAUGGGGAUAAGUACUAGGUAUCAUGAUGGGGAUAAGCAACAACCAGGGUUUGGCAAGGGAUACGUCUUUUCAUUUAGACCGUGACGAACCUAACCGCGGAAAUUCUAGUAAAGAGAUGUAUUUGCACACACACUUCAUGCAUACAACACCAGAAGACAGUACACUGUACACACGGACGAGUGCUACACCACAAGGAAAAACCACUUCCAUAAUCCAGUUUUUUAUUUUUUAUUUUUUGGAAUGAACUUGGGUUUUCUUUGUUCUAUUUCUACAGGUUGUGGUUUUCCGAUGCACUAUGUUCAUUCAAUGUUUUUUCUAUUGCAUCGUUUUGCCACUUCCUGUUAGGCACUUUUUGAAGUUAUGCACUUCGAAAAACAUGUUUUAAUUCAAUAAUGCACCCACCCACCCACAAUGCAAUGCUCCUAUUGAAAAGAUUAGAUUAAUACUGGAAGGUAUGACACAAAGGAUUAUUAAAGUGAAACAAUCAAAUUCACAGCAUCAUUUCAUACCUAUUUUUUUUACUUUUUUUUUUUAAGAAUAUCAGAGAGAAUGUGACAUUUCUGGUAUUUUUUUUCUUGAGGAAGUUUACGGUCUAUUUCCUGAUAUUAAGGAAACCUAUUUUCUUCCUCUGACUGAAGAUGGUUUGAUGUUAUGCCCUUAGACACAGAUCUAGAAUCAGCUUACCUUCAAUCAUAACCUUAAAUAUCAAUUGGGCGGGGGGGGGUUCAGUUAAAGCUGAACUCAGAUCAGUGUCUAUGGGUUGAGUGGAGCUUAUGGAUCCCAAACGUCUGGUAGUGUGACCACUGAUGGCAGUUGUGUGAGGGAAGACGCAUACAUGUCCAAUGGUUAUAUUCCCAUCGGAGUCUGGUAGCAGCUUGUUCUGUGGAACCAUCCAUUUCCCCUUGUGGAGUUGAACCGACUGGGUUGAGCUAAACAACAUCGGAAUAGUAGGAUUUUUAGUUUGUUUGGUAGCGAAACAAAGUGAAUGUGGACAAUUAUUAUAUAUUUUUUACUUUUCUAAAAGUCUGAGGUGUCUUUUUUGGAAGGAUAUCUGUAACGCAGCAGGAUUUCCUCAUUGGGGGGGGGGGGGGGUGACUUCUUCAUAUGCUAGCUGUGAGAGAACCCUUGUCAUUCCACCUGUGUAUAUAGCAAGGCAUUCCCUUACGGUUCUAUUGUCCUACCUGGUGUGGUGUCUCGGUAGGUUGAGCCUGUGAGGUUGUGAGCCAUGACUUUAUGCAAUGUCUUACCAUAUUAUAUGUCCAACUCUGCAAUGAGGAUGAUUUAUGGUCUGCAAUGAGGAUGAUUUAUGGUCUGCAAUGAGGAUGAUUUAUGGUCUGCAAUGAUGAGGAUGAUUUAUGGUCUGCAAUGAUGAGGAUGAUUUAUGGUCUGCAAUGAUGAGGAUGAUUUAUGGUCUGCAAUGAUGAGGAUGAUUUAUGGUCUGCAAUGAUGAGGAUGAUUUAUGGUCUGCAAUGAUGAGGAUGAUUUAUGGUCUGCAAUGAUGAGGAUGAUUUAUGGUCUGCAAUGAUGAGGAUGAUUUAUGGUCUGCAAUGAUGAGGAUGAUUUAUGGUCUGCAAUGAUGAGGAUGAUUUAUGGUCUGCAAUGAUGAGAAUGAUUUAUGGUCUGCAAUGAUGAGGAUGAUUUAUGGUCUGCAAUGAUGAGGAUGAUUUAUGGUCUGCAAUGAUGAGCAUGAUUUAUGGUCUGCAAUGAUGAGCAUGAUUUAUGGUCUGCAAUGAUGAGGAUGAUUUAUGGUUUGCAGUGACGGUGACUCGUGGUCUGCAAUGAUGAGGAUGAUUUAUGGUCUGCAAUGAUGAGGAUGAUUUAUGGUCUGCAGUGACGGUGACUCGUGGUCUGCAAUGAUGAGGAUGAUUUAUGGUCUGCAAUGAUGAGGAUGAUUUAUGGUCUGCAAUGAUGAGCAUGAUUUAUGGUCUGCAAUGAUGAGGAUGAUUUAUGGUUUGCAGUGACGGUGACUCGUGGUCUGCAGUGGUUUUGGACACGUUGUGCUUUGGUUGACAUGCAAAAUGUAUUCAAAUUUGUUAAGAGACUAAGCUUGGCAUUGAUCUGACAUAGAGCAGCGGGUAAUGGUCAUAGACUACAGGCUAUUUUAGGAUUCUGUACACCAUGGUUGUCUAAAGGGAAAUGGUUGUCCACAGAACAAGUGACCCCCCCCCCCCCCCCCCAACAAAAAAAAAACAGACAUUUGAGACUAAAUAAAUCUAGAAAAGAAUGAAACAUUAGCUAAAUAACUUUCUCUACAUCACUAACAUGUGAAGCAGCAUUUAUAUAUUAGUAGUCUUUGUUUUUUUUGUGGUUUUUUUUCGGGUGUUCUUUUGUGUGCAGUCUAUCAACAAAGACUACCAGAAUAGUAAGAUAUUAUACAAAUCAGUGGAUUAAAUAUAUAUUUCUAAUUGUGUAAAAAUGAAAAUGCACUCCUAAUUCACUGAAGUGCCAAUCCUGACCAACUAAAGACUUGAGGUUGAUUAAACUACAUUUUGAGUUGGUGAUCAUAAUCUUUUCUUUUCUUGAAUGUGCACGUUUGUAGUGCAAAAUACUGUUGAUGUUGUUUUUUUCUUCCCUUAUCUUCUAGUUCCAUGACUUGCCGUGGUUUCUCUAAACAAGUGCCAUUCUUUACUGCUUUUGCACAAAAACAAAAAAAAACUGGGAUUGAGUCAGAACAGAGGAAUAAUUUAAUCGUCAAAAAAAAUAUUUUAUUCUAUCAUGGUGAUCCGUCUAAAGUGAAUAAUGAUGCUCUUUCAUUUGAAUGUGUUUGUUUUCUGUUCAGACCUCACGCUGAUGCAACUGCAGGACCGCCUGUCCAGACAUGGGUUUGAUUAGAGAAAGGCAGAGCCAUCAAGUGUAAUUUUAGGCUGAGAACAGACUGCAUUGCACAUUAGUAGGUCCCUGAGUUUUUCCCUUAGUCGGGUAAUAUGGUCUGGAAAAGCUCCGAGCCCAGGCCAAUACAGGGCCACGUUCAGUAGCUAAACGAGGAGCCAACGUGAUUCAUUCUACAUUUUAGAGGCAUGUUUGUUCUACAUAGCAUAUUAAUAUCUCAAUGUUCCAAACUGUUGUGCCCUGCUGAAUGGUCUGCUCAACUUGAACUUCCAUGUUGGCACGACCCAUCUACCCACAAACAGCCACAUAAUGCACGACCCAGCUACCCACAAACAGCCACAUAAUGCACGACCCAGCUACCCACAAACAGCCACAUAAUGCACGACCCAUCUACCCACAAACAGCCACAUAAUGCACGACCCAGCUACCCACAAACAGCUAACAGCCACAUAAUGCACGACCCAGCUACCCACAAACAGCCACAUAAUGCACGACCCAUCUACCCACAAACAACCACAUAAUGCACGACCCAUCUACCCACAAACAGCCACAUAAUGCACGACCCAGCUACCCACAAACAGCCACAUAAUGCACGACCCAGCUACCCACAAACAGCCACAUAAUGCACGACCCAGCUACCCACAAACAGCCACAUAAUGCACGACCCAGCUACCCACAAACAGCCACAUAAUGCACGACCCAGCUACCCACAAACAACUAACAGCCACAUAAUGCACGACCCAGCUACCCACAAACAACUAACAGCCACAUAAUGCACGACCCAUCUACCCACAAACCGCUAACAGCCACAUAAUGAGUAACCCAUCUACCCACAAACAACUAACAGCCACAUAAUGAGUAACCCAUCUACCCACAAACAGCUAACAGCCACAUGAGUAACCCAUCUACCCACAAACAGCCACAUAAUGAGUAACCCAUCUACCCACAAACAGCCACAUAAUGAGUAACCCAGCUACCCACAAACAGCCACAUAAUGCACGACCCAUCUACCCACAAACCGCUAACAGCCACAUAAUGAGUAACCCAUCUACCCACAAACAACUAACAGCCACAUAAUGAGUAACCCAUCUACCCACAAACAGCUAACAGCCACAUAAUGAGUAACCCAUCUACCCACAAACAACUAACAGCCACAUAAUGAGUAACCCAUCUACCCACAAACAACUAACAGCCACAUAAUGAGUAACCCAUCUACCCACAAACAACUAACAGCCACAUAAUGAGUAACCCAUCUACCCACAAACCGCUAACAGCCACAUAAUGAGUAACCCAUCUACCCACAAACAGCCACAUAAUGAGUAACCCAUCUACCCACAAACCGCUAACAGCCACAUAAUGAGUAACCCAGCUACCCACAAACAGCCACAUAAUGCACGACCCAGCUACCCACAAACAGCCACAUAAUGCACGACCCAGCUACCCACAAACAGCCACAUAAUGCACGACCCAGCUACCCACAAACAGCCACAUAAUGCACGACCCAGCUACCCACAAACAGCCACAUAAUGCACGACCCAGCUACCCACAAACAGCCACAUAAUGCACGACCCAGCUACCCACAAACAACUAACAGCCACAUAAUGCACGACCCAGCUACCCACAAACAACUAACAGCCACAUAAUGCACGACCCAUCUACCCACAAACCGCUAACAGCCACAUAAUGAGUAACCCAUCUACCCACAAACAACUAACAGCCACAUAAUGAGUAACCCAUCUACCCACAAACAGCUAACAGCCACAUGAGUAACCCAUCUACCCACAAACAGCCACAUAAUGAGUAACCCAUCUACCCACAAACAGCCACAUAAUGAGUAACCCAGCUACCCACAAACAGCCACAUAAUGCACGACCCAGCUACCCACAAACAACUAACAGCCACAUAAUGCACGACCCAUCUACCCACAAACCGCUAACAGCCACAUAAUGAGUAACCCAUCUACCCACAAACAACUAACAGCCACAUAAUGAGUAACCCAUCUACCCACAAACAGCUAACAGCCACAUAAUGAGUAACCCAUCUACCCACAAACAGCCACAUAAUGAGUAACCCAUCUACCCACAAACAGCCACAUAAUGAGUAACCCAGCUACCCACAAACAGCCACAUAAUGCACGACCCAGCUACCCACAAACAACUAACAGCCACAUAAUGCACGACCCAUCUACCCACAAACCGCUAACAGCCACAUAAUGAGUAACCCAUCUACCCACAAACAACUAACAGCCACAUAAUGAGUAACCCAUCUACCCACAAACAGCUAACAGCCACAUAAUGAGUAACCCAUCUACCCACAAACAACUAACAGCCACAUAAUGAGUAACCCAUCUACCCACAAACAGCCACAUAAUGAGUAACCCAGCUACCCACAAACAGCCACAUAAUGCACGACCCAUCUACCCACAAACCGCUAACAGCCACAUAAUGAGUAACCCAUCUACCCACAAACAGCUAACAGCCACAUAAUGAGUAACCCAUCUACCCACAAACAGCUAACAGCCACAUAAUGAGUAACCCAUCUACCCACAAACCGCUAACAGCCACAUAAUGAGUAACCCAUCUACCCACAAACAGCUAACAGCCACAUAAUGAGUAACCCAUCUACCCACAAACAACUAACAGCCACAUAAUGAGUAACCCAUCUACCCACAAACAGCCACAUAAUGAGUAACCCAUCUACCCACAAACAGCCACAUAAUGAGUAACCCAUCUACCCACAAACAGCCACAUAAUGAGUAACCCAUCUACCCACAAACAGCCACAUAAUGAGUAACCCAUCUACCCACAAACAGCCACAUAAUGAGUAACCCAUCUACCCACAAACAGCUAACAGCCACAUAAUGAGUAACCCAUCUACCCACAAACAACUAACAGCCACAUAAUGAGUAACCCAUCUACCCACAAACCGCUAACAGCCACAUAAUGAGUAACCCAUCUACCCACAAACAACUAACAGCCACAUAAUGAGUAACCCAUCUACCCACAAACAGCUAACAGCCACAUAAUGAGUAACCCAUCUACCCACAAACAGCCACAUAAUGAGUAACCCAUCUACCCACAAACAGCCACAUAAUGAGUAACCCAUCUACCCACAAACAACUAACAGCCACAUAAUGAGUAACCCAUCUACCCACAAACCGCUAACAGCCACAUAAUGAGUAACCCAUCUACCCACAAACCGCUAACAGCCACAUAAUGAGUAACCCAUCUACCCACAAACAGCUAACAGCCACAUAAUGAGUAACCCAUCUACCCACAAACCGCUAACAGCCACAUAAUGAGUAACCCAUCUACCCACAAACAGCUAACAGCCACAUAAUGAGUAACCCAUCUACCCACAAACAACUAACAGCCACAUAAUGAGUAACCCAUCUACCCACAAACAGCUAACAGCCACAUAAUGAGUAACCCAUCUACCCACAAACAGCUAACAGCCACAUAAUGAGUAACCCAUCUACCCACAAACAACUAACAGCCACAUAAUGAGUAACCCAUCUACCCACAAACAACUAACAGCCACAUAAUGAGUAACCCAUCUACCCACAAACAGCUAACAGCCACAUAAUGAGUAACCCAUCUACCCACAAACAACUAACAGCCACAUAAUGAGUAACCCAUCUACCCACAAACAGCUAACAGCCACAUAAUGAGUAACCCAUCUACCCACAAACAGCUAACAGCCACAUAAUGAGUAACCCAUCUACCCACAAACAACUAACAGCUCAUUCAAAAUGGAGAAGACUCUUUUUAUACUUUUAUUUUUUUUUUUUAACACUUUUUUUUGUUGACUUUGGUGCUUUGCCAUUGCAUGUACAUUGACUUGGAUAUGGAGGGUAUAUAAUUAUUAUUGGCUGUCCAGACCCAGUCACUCAAUCAACCAAUCACUUGACCAGAGACAGCUUUCAGCUAUCUCUUGAUUUAGCACAAUGAAUCAGAAGCUACAUCCUUGGCUGAGAAUGAACCAACCAAUCAGAGCUGCAAUAGAAUAUUCUCUAAAAGUCAACCAUCCCCAGGGAUUCAUUUAAGACUGCUCCCAAAAGUGCAUCCUAUUUCCUAUCUAACGUCCUACUUUUAGAACAGGGGUCCAUGGGGCUCUGGUGAAAAGUAGUGCAGUAAAUAAGGAAUAGACUGUCAUUUGGGACAGAACCUUCUUUCCUUCCUCCCUUCUCACGCUUCAAUGCAAUUAACAGAGCUGAAUGAAUCCUACACAUGCCUAAUGAUUUCUGCAAAGUGCUGAAAUGCUUCAUAUGGCAAUAGUAGAAGGGACAGAAGGUUUUUCCUGACCAGGAGAAAAUCAAAUGUUGUUUGAGACAUUCGUCCAAUACACCAGGUGUAGAUCUUACAGUGAAACAGAAACCUAUUGGCCAUGGUCAAAAGUAGUGCACUAUAUAUGGAAUGGGGUGCCAUUUGGGGAUCAAAAGUAGUGCACUAUAUAGGGAAUAGGGUGCCAUUUGGGAGAGCCUACUGGGUUGUAGUUAUUUGCUAUAGUGUUUCCCUGUCAGGCCCUAUGGUCAGGAAUAACUCCUACCCCUAGGCAAAGAUUUGAAAAAAGAAUAAAGAUAACAUUUAAAUGGGACUUUUCUUGUCGUCCGUCCUAGAUCCUGUAAAUGUGUAUAUCUCCGAAAAUCCCAAGCCACGCCUUUUAGUGCUCAGCUUUGUCAAAAUAAUGCUCUCUGUUCUACAAUUGUUUACAAUGCAAACACGUUUGUAAAGUAUUUUUCACGUCAUAACUGACCAGUCUUGGUGUAUACUCUUUGAUCCUCUCAUUUAUCUUUCGCAAUGUAUUUAUUUUUAGCUUUUUGAUAACCCAUCUUGUACUGUGACUUGACUUGACCGACGGUAUGAAUGAGUGACACGAAACUGAUACGCUUCAACGGAACAUGACACAAGAAUACAUAAACAACAACAACAAAUGCAUUAACAAAUAUUGGAAAUGUGUUCAAGUGACAGUUGUGGAAACUGUAAGAUAAUAUAUAUAUUAAAACAAAUGUUGCAACCCUU